GAUGAACGCUAGCGGGAGGCCUAACACAUGCAAGCCGAGCGGUAGAGUUUCUUCGGAAACUUGAGAGCGGCGCACGGGUGCGUAACACGUGUGCAACCUACCUUUAUCUGGGGGAUAGCCUUUCGAAAGGAAGAUUAAUACCCCAUAAUAUAAUGAUUGGCAUCAAUUAUUAUUGAAAACUCCGGUGGAUAGAGAUGGGCACGCGCAAGAUUAGAUAGUUGGUGAGGUAACGGCUCACCAAGUCAAUGAUCUUUAGGGGUCCUGAGAGGGAGAUCCCCCACACUGGUACUGAGACACGGACCAGACUCCUACGGGAGGCAGCAGUGAGGAAUAUUGAACAAUGGGUGAGAGCCUGAUCCAGCCAUCCCGCGUGAAGGAUGACGGUCCUAUGGAUUGUAAACUUCUUUUGUACAGGGAGAAACCUACCCUCGUGAGGGUAGCUGAAGGUACUGUACGAAUAAGCACCGGCUAACUCCGUG
rnacentral:rRNA from 1 species